rnacentral:rRNA from 1 species
GACGAACGCUGGCGGCGUGCUUAACACAUGCAAGUCGAACGGAAAGGCCCUGCUUGCAGGGUACUCGAGUGGCGAACGGGUGAGUAACACGUGGGUGAUCUGCCCUGCACUUCGGGAUAAGCCUGGGAAACUGGGUCUAAUACCGGAUAGGAGCCAUUUUUAGUGUGAUGGUUGGAAAGUUUUUUCGGUGUAGGAUGAGCUCGCGGCCUAUCAGCUUGUUGGUGGGGUAAUGGCCUACCAAGGCGGCGACGGGUAGCCGGCCUGAGAGGGUGGACGGCCACAUUGGGACUGAGAGACGGCCCAGACUCCUACGGGAGGCAGCAGUGGGGAAUAUUGCACAAUGGGCGCAAGCCUGAUGCAGCGACGCCGCGGGGGGGAUGACGGCCUUCGGGUUGUAAACUCCUUUCGCUAGGGACGAAGCUUUUUGUGACGGUACCUAGAUAAGAAGCACCGGCUAACUACGUG